AUUCUUUUGUAGCUCAUAAGCAGGAUGACUGGUUUGUCACAUGGGUGUGUGAGGUGUGCCUGUCUCAAACCUUGCCAUAGUGCUGGCACAGUAUCCAGCUGGUG